GACGAACGCUGGCGGCGUGCUUAACACAUGCAAGUCGAACGAAGUGGCGAACGGGUGAGUAAUACGUGAGUAACCUGCCCUCCUUUUUGGGAUAAGCCUUGGAAACGGGGUCUAAUACCGGAUAAAGGGGGAGGGGCUCGCGGCCUAUCCGCUGGUUGGUGGGGUGAUGGCCUACCAAGGCGGUGACGGGUCGCCGGCCUGAGAGGGUGACCGGCAACAGUGGGACGGAGAUACGGCCCAGAGUACUACGGGAGGGAGCAGUGGGGGAGAUGGGACAAUGGGCGAAAGACUGAUGCAGCGACGACGCGUGGGGGAUGAAGGCUUUCGGGUUGUAAAACUCUUGCGGUAGCGAACGGGUAGGUGGAGAAGAAGCGCCGGCUAACUACGUGCCAGCAGCCGCGGUAAUAC
rnacentral:rRNA from 1 species